UACAGAGGGUGCAAGCGUUGUCCGGAAUCACUGGGCGUAAAGGGCGCGUAGGCGGCCCGGUAAGUAGGGGGUGAAAUCUCACGGCUCAACUGCGAGGCUGCCUUCUAGACUGCCAGGCUCGAGCACAGUAGAGGCUGGUGGAAUUCCCGGUGUAGCGGUGGAAUGCGUAGAGAUCGGGAAGAACAUCUGUGGCGAAGGCGGCCAGCUGGGCUGUUGCUGACGCUGAUGCGCGACAGCGUGGGGAGCAAACAGGG
rnacentral:rRNA from 1 species